rnacentral:rRNA from 1 species
AUUGAACGCUGGCGGAAGGCCUAACACAUGCAAGUCGAACGAGUGGCGGACGGGUGAGUAAUGUGUGGGAAACUGCCUGAGGGAGGGGGAUAAAUAGUGGAAACGGUAGCUAAUCACGCAUACUAUCAGAUGUGCCCAGAUGGGAUUAGCGUGUUGGUGGGGUAACGGCUCACCAAGGAGACGAUCCCUAGCUGGUCUGAGAGGAUGACCAGCCACACUGGACCUGAGACACGGUCCAGACUCCUACGGGAGGCAGCAGUGGGGAAUAUUGCACAAUGGGCGCAAGCCUGAUGCAGCCAUGCCGCGUGUAUGAAGAAGGCCUUCGGGUUGUAAAGUACUUUCAGCGGGGAGGCGUUACCCGCAGAAGAAGCACCGGCUAACUCCGUGCCAGCAGCCGCGGUAAUUC